rnacentral:lncRNA from 1 species
UUUUGAGCAGAAACCACUCACCAUCCUCCCUCCCUCACGAAAAUCUCCCUCUUCCACUCGUUUUCAGCCGCCGCUGCAAGUUCUCCGGCCAAAUCGUCGGUGUUGAAACAAGCAUCGUUCAAGGCUUUGCCACACUUUCUCAUCCCGCACAGUUUAUUCACAAGUUUCGCUUCCGCAAUUAAGGUACGGACAUGACAACUUAUGUGUACGGAUUUGGGUUUUCGCAACCUCGUUGUCGGAAAUCUAAGGUUACAGGUUUAUCUUAGAAGACCAUGGA